GCCAGGAUGGCCGAGCGGUCCAAGCCGCUGCGUUCAGGACGCAGUCCGGUGUUCCGGGCGUGGGUUCGAAUCCCACUUCUGACA
rnacentral:tRNA from 1 species